CAUGGGCGAAUAUGGGAAAAGCUCCGGCGGCAAAGGAUGGGGCCCCGCGGCCUGUUAGCUAGUUGGUGGGGUAGUGGCCUACCCAAGGCAAUGAUGGGUAGCCGGGUUGAGAGACCGACCGGCCAGAUUGGGACUGAGACACGGCCCAGACUCCUACGGGAGGCAGCAGUGGGGAAUCUUGCACAAUGGGCGAAAGCCUGAUGCAGCGACGCCGCGUGCGGGAUGAAGGCCUUCGGGUUGUAAACCGCUUUCAGCAGGGACGAGGCCGCAAGGUGACGGUACCUGCAGAAGAAGCCCCGGCUAACUACGUGCCAGCAGCCGCGGUAAU
rnacentral:rRNA from 1 species